rnacentral:lncRNA from 10 species
AAUCCCAGCUACUCAUGAGGCUGAGGCACGAGAAUUGCUUGAACCAGGAGGCAGAGGUUGCAGUGAGCAGAGAUUGUGCCGCUGCACUCCAGCCUGGGUGACAGAGAAGAAAAAGGUAAGAGGAUGGGAGGGAGAGAAGGAAGGAAAAGAGAGAGGAAAAGAAGGAAAGAGGGAGGAAGAGAGAUAGAGGGAGAGGGAGAGGGAGAGGAAAAAAUGUGGAGGAAAAUAAAUAAUCAACAGUAAUUAAGAGAGAAAAUUAACCAUGAGGAAGGAAUAAAGGAAAGUCAUAAUAUUUACCAAAAAAAAUCUUGUGGUCAGGGAGAAAACGGCUGCUUUAUUUCAAAUUCAGGGUUAAACCUAAGAGUCAGAAAUCCUUAUAAAUUCAUAUACAUUUCUUUUAAAACUCCCCAUUGUCUGGAAGAUGCUAAGGAACUAAAUAUGUUAAGAACUAGUAAAAAUAAAUAAAUAAAGGCCAGGCAGUCCACCCUAGGUGGGCAGGCUUCCUACAUGGACUCUGAGGGGCUCUCUGGUCUCUGCUGAUGUUGCUGGCAUACCUGCUGUGGACACCCAGUAAAACAGUGGCUCCACACAAUCAUGGGAAAAAAGACGAAUAUGACCAUUACAUUUCACACAAGCUUCAAAGGAACCAUCAAACCAGUAACAACUCAAUUACUCUUUGUGGCUUCUUUUUAUUUUGAAUCAAUAAUCUAGAAGUGAAGGUCU